rnacentral:rRNA from 1 species
UACGUAGGUGGCGAGCGUUGUCCGGAUUUACUGGGCGUAAAGGGCGUGCAGGCGGUUUGUUAAGUGCAGGGUGAAAGCUCCCGGCUCAACUGGGAGAGGUCCUUGCAUACUGGCGCACUCGAGGGAGGCAGAGGAAAGUGGAAUUCCCGGUGUAGUGGUGAUAUGCGUAGAUAUCGGGAGGAACACCUGUGGCGAAGGCGGCUUUCUGGGCCUUACCUGACGCUGAGACGCGAAAGCGUGGGGAGCGGACCGG